ACACGUCUCCACUCCUCAGUAAAAAUUAAUGCACAGUCAGCAUUUUUAGCUGCAGUAGAGCACGUUUACUUCCGGAAAACACCAGAAUUUGUGGUGUUCCGGUUCGGCUUGUCCCAGGGCUUACGGCGACGCAGGCAGCCGAGAAGCCCUGGGAACGAGGAUGCGUUAUGCGUGGCAACAUGAAUAUGGACGUGGCCCCUUAGACUUGCUCCAAGUCUCUCUUUCAUUGUCAUAUCGAUCCAGUAUAGUGUACAUUACAUGACGUAGCACGGAGAGGCGGAGCGAGAAAGAGAGACUUGUCAACUUCGGAAAAUCUCGGUUCAAAACUGAACCGAAAAUACAAGACUUGCUUAAUUGUUUUCCUUCAAUUUCUUUCUGUAUUAUUUACUAUAAUGGAACUCACGUUAUUUACACUGUGCUAGAUCAAUGCAUAUAAACACGGACAGAAUACAAGUCUUGCAUUUUCGGUUCAGUUUUGAACCGAGAUUUUCCGAAGUUGACAAGUCCCUGCCCUACACGGGUAAAAAUUGAUCAGGUUGUUCGGCGUUG
rnacentral:lncRNA from 1 species